GACAGAGGGUGCAAACGUUGCUCGGAAUCACUGGGCGUAAAGGGCGUGUAGGCGGGGAUAUAAGUCAGGCGUGAAAGCCCUAGGCUCAACCUAGGAAUUGCGCUUGAAACUGUGUUCCUUGAGUGUCGGAGAGGAAAGUGGAAUUCCUGGUGUAGAGGUGAAAUUCGUAGAUAUCAGGAGGAACACCAGUGGCGAAGGCGGCUUUCUGGACGACAACUGACGCUGAGACGCGAAAGCGUGGGGAGCAAACAGG
rnacentral:rRNA from 1 species